rnacentral:rRNA from 1 species
UACGUAGGGUGCGAGCGUUGUCCGGAAUUACUGGGCGUAAAGAGCUCGUAGGUGGUUUGUCGCGUUGUUCGUGAAAACUCACAGCUUAACUGUGGGCGUGCGGGCGAUACGGGCAGACUGGAGUACUGCAGGGGAGACUGGAAUUCCUGGUGUAGCGGUGGAAUGCGCAGAUAUCAGGAGGAACACCGGUGGCGAAGGCGGGUCUCUGGGCAGUAACUGACGCUGAGGAGCGAAAUCGUUGGGAGCGAACAGG